CGGGUGAGUAACACGUGGAUAACCUACCUAUAAGACUGGGAUAACUUCGGGAAACCGGAGCUAAUACCGGAUAAUAUUAUGAACCGCAUGGUUCAAAAGUGAAAGACGGUCUUGCUGUCACUUAUAGAUGGAUCCGCGCCGCAUUAGCUAGUUGGUAAGGUAACGGCUUACCAAGGCAACGAUGCAUAGCCGACCUGAGAGGGUGAUCGGCCACACUGGAACUGAGACACGGUCCAG
rnacentral:rRNA from 1 species